rnacentral:rRNA from 1 species
UUGGGUUUAAAGGGUGCGCAGGCUGUCGUGCAAGUCAGCGGUCAAAUGUCGGGGCUCAACCCCGGCCUGCCGUUGAAACUGUAUGACUGGCGUGAGUGUGAGGUAGGCGGAAUGCGUUGUGUAGCGGUGAAAUGCAUAGAUAUGACGCAGAACUCCGAUUGCGAAGGCAGCUUACCAACACUUUACGGACGCUGAGGCACGAAAGCGUGGGUAUCGAACAGGAUUAGAUACCCUGGUAGUCCACGCAGUAAACGAUGAAUACUAAUUGUUCGGGGGGCAACCCCUGAGUGAUACAGCGAAAGCGUUAAGUAUUCCACCUGGGGAGUACGCCGGCAACGGUGAAACUCAAAGGAAUUGACGGGGGCCCGCACAAACGGAGGAACACGUGGUUUAAUUCGAUGAUACGCGAGGAACCUUACCCGGGCUCAAACGUUGGGGGAAUGCUCCUGAAAGGGAGCAGCCAGCAAUGGUCGCCAACGAGGUGCUGCAUGGUUGUCGUCAGCUCGUGCCGUGAGGUGUCGGCUUAAGUGCCAUAACGAGCGCAACCCCUGCGUCCAGUUACCAUCAAGUCAUGUUGGGGACUCUGGACGGACUGCCGGCGCAAGCCGUGAGGAAGGCGGGGAUGACGUCAAAUCAGCACGGCCCUUACGUCCGGGGCGACACACGUGUUACAAUGGCGUGGAACAGCGGGAAGCCACCUGGCGACAGGGAGCGGACCCCUAAAACACGUCUCAGUUCGGAUUGGAGUCUGCAACUCGACUCCAUGAAGCUGGAUUCGCUAGUAAUCGCGCAUCAGCCAUGGCGCGGUGAAUACGUUCCCGGGCCUUGUACACACCGCCCGUCAAGCCAUGGGGGCCGGNNNNNNCUGAAGUACGUAACCGGAAGGAGCGUCCAAGGGUAACACUGGUGACUGGGGCUGAGUCGUAACAAGGUAACCA